rnacentral:rRNA from 1 species
AGUGAACGCUGGCGGUAGGCCUAACACAUGCAAGUCGAACGGCAGCACAGUAAGAGCUUGCUCUUACGGGUGGCGAGUGGCGGACGGGUGAGGAAUACAUCGGAAUCUACUUUUUCGUGGGGGAUAACGUAGGGAAACUUACGCUAAUACCGCAUACGACCUACGGGUGAAUGCAGGGGCUCUUCGGACCUUGCUCGAUUGAAUGAGCCGAUGUCGGAUGAGCUAGUUGGCGGGGUAAAGGCCCACCAAGGCGACGAUCCGUAGCUGGUCUGAUAGGAUGGUUAGCCACACUGGAACUGAGACACGGUCCAGACUCCUGCGGGGAGCAGCAGUGGAGAAUAUUGGGCAAUGGGCGCAAGCCUGAUCCAGCCAUACCGCGUGGGUGAAGAAGGCCUUCGGGUUGUAAAGCCCUUUUGUUGGGAAAGAAAAGCAGCAGGUUAAUACCCCGCUGUUCUGACGGUACCCAAAGAAUAAGCACCGGCUAACUUCGUG